GCUCGGACAUCCGUUGGGUCGACUAGAAUAUUGUGAGUGCUCCACAUGUACUUAAAGUAUGUCUCAGUUUUCAUGUAACUUGGUAUUCACAUAUAAACUAUACGUGUGAAUGAAUGAAUACUUCACUAAAGUAAAUAAAUCUUCGCUAACCAUAUUAUUUUCUGCUCCAUAUCCCUCGGUCAACUACUAAGUACUUUUCGGAAGGCAAUAUUCUGAUUUUGUCAAACUGUACACAUAUCCAUUUUCAGAUUUUUUGUUCGAAUUUUUUUAUCCUUAACUACAAAACUCACGUAAAGUUUUUAGUCACCGUCUUAUUUUGCUCACGUAUUAUAUAUUAUAUAAUAGCUUUUCCAGACUGGCACCUGAAGAACACCAUUUUCAUUAAUUUUCAUUUUUCAAAAGCGCGUUCCUCAGGCCCUGCAUUUGGAUGAAUUUUGUUAAAUUCAGGCUGUGGAAAACAUAUCACCCUUCCCCAUAUACUUGCCAAUUUUGCAUGUGCGGAGCGAUGAUCUGUUUUGCACGGUUAGGCCUAAAAAUAACUAUUUUUACAGAAAUUAAAGAUCAUGAUAUAAUAUAUCCCAUCCUUUCCUCAUAUAUAAAGAGAAGCAUCGAGAGUCUCGAAUUGUACUCGAAUGGCAUCUCGAAGAAGAAUUGAACGACAAUCGAUUCAGCAUAGUCGAAACUCACAGAAAAUGUGACAUGUGCGUUCUGAAGGUUAAAACAGUCACGAAACAGUAGCGCUGUUUUCCUUUUCAAAAAAUAUUCCCACCAUUGAUCUCUAAUAGCUGGAUAGACUAUCGAGUAUUCUCCUUGUGAGGUGAUUUGAAAGUCAAUCAACGCUUCCGAACAGUAGUCCGGGAGCUACAAUUCUAUUAAGUGCGCAUGCUCAGCGCAGUUGUCAGUGGAAGGGGAGAAGCAUGUUUACCAGGGUAGUUGGAAAGCUUCUGGGUAAAUUUCCAAGAGAUACAAAUCAUCAAAAAUAGCAGGAAAUGGGUCGUUAGAACUUUUAGUGUAUUUUUUGAUAUGGGAUCUGCAUAGGAAAAGCGAACAGGAAAUUAAUAUUCUUGGUUUUUUUUUUAUUUUCGCAACUCGGAAAUAAACUUAUCUAUUCACUUCAAUUUGAGCGGAUUAUAAUGAAAACUCCUCACUGGACAAGGAGAAAAUAUAAUACUAUUCAUGAUGACUGGAUAAUUUUUCAACUUUUGGAAAAAAUUUAAAGUGUUUAUUUUCUUCUACUUGAAUUGUGAAAAGAUUAUAUAGAAUUUUGACAUUUGAAGAUGGGAAUUUAUUCAGUACAUUUAACUAAAUGUUGAAAAGUCAACUACUUCUUACAGUAGAGGAGGACGCAGUCGGCAACCACCAAUCGUAUUUUUGAUUAAAAAAAAGAGUCAUUAAUAGCACAUAAGUAAUUCGAAUUCGAGAAUUAUUCUAUUGAAAUAAAAAAUCUGGGAAUUUUUUGUCCAAGAAGAAACGAAAUACUUCUGUCACCCGGACAGUUCUCAGAAAUAACGAAUGUGUCACGUAGUCUAAAUCGUUAUUGCGUCAUUUUUCCAGCGUCAUUUACUGCCCGCAUCACCAUCCCUUGAGUGACGCAGAUACACAGUCAAGGGCACUGAAGUACUCGAGCGACUCUUAGCGGAGGCGCUGCUCAUCCUACAGUACUGCCUCAAUGUCGGUGUAGAGAGGUGUAGGCAUAGUCUGUCCAGUUAUAUAGAAAUCAGUGAUUCUCAUAGACUCAUUAGUUCGAUGAUAAUUUCAACAAGUUAAUAACGAAUGGCGGUUUUCAUUAGUGAUUGCCUCAUGCUUUGUGUUAUCAGAGAUUAUAAGGGAGAUUGCUAAGGCUUAUGGAAAGGCUUUGACAAGUGAUUCAUUGCGGCGGCUACGGAACUACGUCCAGAGAGCCCGUACGUAUUGCUAGGAGGGUUGAAAUCGUGGGUAUGGUCACGUGUCAAUUUUUGGAGGCCCCCGAUUCAUCAGCUGUUAAUUUUUUUAAUUUUCAACUUUUUUUUCUGUAUUCUUGUAAUGUUAAUAAACAACUAAUAAAAAAUCAAUAGUAAAAGUAUUAAUUGCCUAUUUUUUAUGACACUGCAAAAAUUACCUGAAAUUCAUGUUUCUAGACUAGAAGACCCCCAUAAAAUCAACUAAGCCGACUAAAAUCAACUCAUGAACUCAAAAUUAACUAAAUCGGCUGAAAGCGAGCCAAAACGACAUGAACUACGAUGGAAAUUGAAAAGUAAAUCUCAAAUAUUGAGCACAGAAAUGCAAAAUUGGGGAAUUAUUUAUUGAAAUGGAACAAGUGUUGAACUGAUUUGCGUUAUUGUCUUCAAUGUUAACAUUCAUCACGAUGAGAACACUGAUGAAUGAUGAAUUUUCGACAAAAAAAAGGAAGAACAAGGGUUAAGAAUGUAGAAUAGAAAGAAGAUAACGGAAAGGCGUCAACUAGGUUUUCUUUAUAUAUAAAGGAUAUAUAUAAAGGAGAGCAUAAUAGCUACCGCUCAAAAAUCGAAUUGAAGAAAAUUGAUAUCGAAUGAAGGCAAGCUCCGGUACAAUCAACGACAGAUAACGUAGUUGAGAUAAUGAGCGUUAAUUUGCAAGUCAUAUAAUUCUAAUUGGAGCUAAAAUACAAUAUAUUGAAUAGGAGCCAUGUGUAAUUGCAUGCAUCGAGAGAAAAUUAUCUUCUUGAAAAAAAAAAGAUAAAUUGAAAAAUAUCAUGGCGAAAGGCACUGUAGGAAAAUGUAACGGUGAAAACUUAGCUUACGUUUCAGUAAUUAAAUAUCCAAAUAUGAUUUUUUUCCAUUUCCUUAUU